rnacentral:lncRNA from 1 species
UGGCCAGGCUGGCACUGGCACAGUCUUCAUGGCGGAAGAUCUCCACACAGUCGGGAGUGUUCCAGGUGUGGCCACAUGUGGCCCAGGGCAGCGUGGUGCUAAAGGACUUGACCAGGCUUUUCCUCCAGGAGCUGCACCAGGAACUCACAGAGGAUCAGGGAGAAUUCUGAGAACAUGCUACUGUGGUGCUGCCUAGAGAGGAAGGAUAAAUGAUGACAAGUACAUCUCUGAGUAACGUAUGGCCACUUGUUCAUGAAAACUGUUUUUCUGAAAGCUUGUGAAGGUCUUGAAAUACUCGCUAUCAGUUGAGGACAAACAUUUACACCCUCCUUCCACAGGGAGUUCAAGCAGGCUGGAUGGGUCCAUCUAUGGAUGAUCUUCCCCAGCCCCUUCCUCUUCCCAGCUCAUUCCUGGCUCUCUGUGUGAACAGGUCUCAUCAGUGGAAUGUGGUUGAUGAAGUGAGGUCUUCAAUUUUCUCAUCUACUGUGUGGUCAUGUUAUUUUCCUCAUCUGAGGCUUAAAAACUCACCUGCAUGCAGCACAUGACAGCUUAAAAUCUCUUGUGAACAAAACAGUAACAAAGACACCCACCAGCGUUGAGCAUCCCGUGUUGAUGACAGCGACCACCAUGGGUCAACGUCCUCUUCACAAUCCUGUGUCAGAGCAUCACUUGACUGAUUUCAUUAGCAACUUCCCAGGAGAAUCAGCUUACAAAAUACUUGUCCCAUUUUCCAUGCAGAUGUAACCCAUCUAUUUUACUGAAGAAAUGGGAAGAGCUGAAUGCUGAAUACACUGAAUGUCUGCAGGUUGUGCAAGUUUGUGACUUUAUCACUUUCUAAUUUCUGAUCUGUGUGGACCACUCUACAGAUUUUUCUCACUGGUGUGAUCAGCCUUCUGGAUGUCAAAUAUAAUAGACUUUCAACAAUAUAAAAGUCAACACAAGCUCCUCAUGGUUUCAGUGCUCAGUGAUGACUCUAAACUUACACAAUGUGUU